CUCGCCGCCCCCGCCACCCACCGCUGGAGCCAGAAGGCCAUGGAGGACACCUUCUACCUGAGCAACGUCGCGCCCCAGACACUGGAGAACUCAAGAGUGGGGAGUCAAGAGCAGACCCAUGACUUCCAGCUGCUGGGCUCUGCCUGCAGUUCAGAAAGGAGAGAGGGUGCCCCAUCUCAACCAGAAUGCCUGGAACAACCUGGAAAAGUACAGCCGCAGCUUGACCCGCACCUACCAAAAUGUCUAUGUAUGCACGGGGCCACUCUUCCUGCCCAGGCCUGCCUCAGCCUCCGGGUCCACACGCAGUGCCAAGUCACGUCAUCUGGUUUCUUGACAAGACUGUCUCUUCCCUGCUUCAGGCCCCCUAAUUGCAUUUCUAUAGCUGGAGA
rnacentral:lncRNA from 1 species